rnacentral:rRNA from 1 species
UACAGAGGGGGCUAGCGUUAUUCGGAAUUAUUGGGCGUAAAGCGCACGUAGGCGGCUUUGCAAGUCUGACGUGAAAUCCCUCAGCUCAACUGAGGAAGUGCAUCGGAAACUGCAAGGCUUGAGUACUGAAGAGGAUCGCGGAAUUCCCGGUGUAGAGGUGAAAUUCGUAGAUAUCGGGAGGAACACCAGUGGCGAAGGCGGCGAUCUGGGCAGAUACUGACGCUGAGGUGCGAAAGCGUGGGGAGCAAACAGG